rnacentral:rRNA from 1 species
AGUGAACGCUGGCGGUAGGCCUAACACAUGCAAGUCGAACGGCAGCACAGUAAGAGCUUGCUCUUACGGGUGGCGAGUGGCGGACGGGUGAGGAAUACAUCGGAAUCUACUUUUUCGUGGGGGAUAACGUAGGGAAACUUACGCUAAUACCGCAUACGACCUACGGGUGAAAGCAGGGGAUCUUCUGACCUUGCGCGAUUGAAUGAGCCGAUGUCGGAUUAGAUAGUCGGCGGGGUAAAGGCCCACCAAGGCGACGAUCCGUAGCUGGUCUGAGAGGAUGAUCAGCCACACUGGAACUGAGACACGGUCCAGACUCCUACGGGAGGCAGCAGUGGGGAAUAUUGGUCAAUGGGCGCAAGCCUGAUCCAGCCAUACCGCGUGGGUGAAGAAGGCCUUCGGGUUGUAAAGCCCUUUUGUUGAGAAAGAAAAGCAGCAGGUUAAUACCCCGCUGUUCUGACGGUACCCAAAGAAUAAGCACCGGCUAACUUCGUG